AUGGCUGAGCAGCAGACCCCUCACAGACAGGACGGACCCAACAUGCCCGGGGGCCCAGAGCCCAAGGAGCAGGAGGCCAGCCCACCAGACCCGGGCUCAGGCUGCAGCCCCGCUCCACGCAGGGGACCCCUCAGGACCCUCCAGCUCACCGGCAUGGCACCCGUGACCUCGACCCACAGCCAUCCUCACGACCCAGCAAGCCCAGUGGCCACAGGACCCACAGAGGCCAGUGAGAUCUACUUGGGAAGAAGGAGGCUUCCAGAGUAUACUUUGCUGUUUGCUGCCUGCCUAUCCUGGGAUAUAGAUGCAAGGCCCAGAGCUGUUUCUGGAGAGGUCCUGAACCCCAGCAUCACAGCAGGGUCUCCCCGGCACCUCACACCUGAGGCCAACAUCACCACCUGCACCAUUGCUGUGCCUACACCUCCAGCAUUGCCCCCAUUUCCCAAAGACCAGGCCAGUGACCUGGAGCCCCAGCCUUUGUCCUGCUUCUUGGGAGCCCCACCGCAGACACGCCUGCCAUCCCUGCCCUCUGCCUCCCACAGCCCCACGGCCUUCCUACUCCUGGUGGCCCCAGCCCAGCCCACAUCCAUCCUCCAUGCCAUACUAGACAGAACUUUCCAGAGAAAGACCCUCAGCUUCUUCAAAGGGCACAUAGGCCAUCUUGAGUCCAUCUACAACCAAGCCACCUGCCACUCUUCUCCAGGCCCACAGCCCAGCCUGGAUCAGGGCUCUGGUUGUCCCUGUGCCUGGAGUUAUCGGGACCCGUGUCAAUGUGACUACUUUGACUACUGGGGCCAAGGAACCCUGGUGACGGUGUCCUCAGCCAGGUCCCACUUCUUGUCUGGGGCCCCACCAACAUUGUCACAAUGUGACAACUGGUUCAACUACUGGGGCCCCGGGACCCUGGUCACCGUGUCUUCAGAGACCUCAUCCCGUCCAAAUCUCUUCCCCCUCAUCACCUGUGAGAGCUCCCUGUCCGAUGAGCCCCUGGUGGCCAUGGGCUGCCUGGCCCGGGACUUCCUGCCCAGCUCCGUCACCUUCUCCUGGAACUACAAGAACAACAGUGUGGUCAACAACCAGGACAUCCAGACCUUCCCUCCAGUCCUGAGAGAGGGCAAGUACGUGGCUACCUCUCAGGUGCUCCUGCCCUCCGUGGACGUCCUCCAGGGUUCAGAUGACUUCCUCACAUGCAAUGUGAAACACCCCCAGGGCAACAGUGAGGUGAACGUGCCCAUCCCAGUGCCUUUAGAGCUGUCCCCCAACGUGACUGUCUUCAUCCCACCCCGUGACGCCUUCUCUGACAACAACCAGCGCACGUCCCAGCUCCUCUGUCAGGCAACAGGCUUCAGCCCCAAGAAGAUCUCUGUGUCCUGGCUUCGUGAUGGAAAGCCCAUCAAGUCAGGCUUCAACCCAGGCAACGUGGAGGCUGAGAACCAAGGGCCCGGGCCCGUGACCUUCAGGGUGCUCAGCACGCUGACCAUCACCGAGAAUGCCUGGCUCAGCCAGAGCGUGUUCACUUGCAAUGUGGAGCACAAUGGGCUGACCUUCAAGAAGAACGUGUCCUCCGCAUGCAUCCUCAACACGCAGGCCAGCAUCAGAAUCUUCGCCAUUCCCCCCACCUUCGCCAGCAUCUUCCAAACCAAGUCGGCCAAGCUGUCCUGCAGGGUCGUAGACCUGACCACCCGCGACAGCCUGAACAUCUCCUGGACCCGCCAGAAUGGCGACUUUCUGCCAACCACCACCAUCUUCCAGAGCAACCUCAACAACACCUUCAGUGCCACGGGGGAGGCCACCGUCUGUGCAGAGGACUGGGAGUCAGGGGAGGACUUCACCUGCACGGUGACCCACACAGAUCUGCCCUCGCCACUGAAGAAGACCAUCUCUAAACCCAAGGACGUCAACAAACAACCGCCCUCUGUCUACGUCCUGCCACCCAGCCGGGAGCAGCUGAGCCUGCGGGAGUCAGCCACAGUCACUUGCCUGGUGAAGGGCUUCUCACCCGCAGAUGUGUUCGUGCAAUGGCUGCAGAAAGGCCAACCCAUGUCCUCUGAGAGUUACGUGACCAGUGACCCGACACCCGAGCCCCAGGACCCCCACCUCUACUUUGUCCACAGCACCCUGACUGUGAGUGAGGAGGAGUGGAGCUCGGGGGAGACCUACACCUGUGUUGUGGGCCACGAGGCCCUGCCCCACAUGGUGACGGAGAGGAGCGUGGACAAGUCCACCGAGGGGGAGGUGAGCGCCGAGGAGGAGGGCUUCGAGAAUCUGAACACCAUGGCCUCCACCUUCAUCGUUCUCUUCCUCCUCAGCGUCUUCUACAGCACCACAGUCACCCUGUUCAAGGUGAAAUGACCCUCCCCGCUAAGAACUUCAGAGACCCAGAAGAUGGGACCCAGGGGGGCACCGCCUUGGGGCCUGGGGUUCCCAGCCUGCAGACCCUGUCGACUUGCACUUAAAUCCUUCCCACGUCACCCCUCCCGCUUGCCACCCAAAGACACAGGCUUCUCAAGACCAGGCCAAGUGCUGUGGACGCAGCACCGCUCUGCAGUGUGCACACAUGUCACCUUGAAAUAAAUGUGUA